GGACUGAGACACGGCCCAGACUCCUACGGGAGGCAGCAGUAGGGAAUCUUCCGCAAUGGACGAAAGUCUGACGGAGCAACGCCGCGUGAGUGAUGAAGGUUUUCGGAUCGUAAAGCUCUGUUGUUAGGGAAGAACAAGUGCGAGAGUAACUGCUCGCACCUUGACGGUACCUAACCAGAAAGCCACGGCUAACUACGUGCCAGCAGCCGCGGUAAUACGUAGGUGGCAAGCGUUGUCCGGAAUUAUUGGGCGUAAAGGGCUCGCAGGCGGUUUCUUAAGUCUGAUGUGAAAGCCCCCGGCUCAACCGGGGAGGGUCAUUGGAAACUGGGAAACUUGAGUGCAGAAGAGGAGAGUGGAAUUCCACGUGUAGCGGUGAAAUGCGUAGAGAUGUGGAGGAACACCAGUGGCGAAGGCGACUCUCUGGUCUGUAACUGACGCUGAGGAGCGAAAGCGUGGGGAGCGAACAGGAUUAGAUACCCUGGUAGUCCACGCCGUAAACGAUGAGUGCUAAGUGUUAGGGGGUUUCCGCCCCUUAGUGCUGCAGCUAACGCAUUAAGCACUCCGCCUGGGGAGUACGGUCGCAAGACUGAAACUCAAAGGAAUUGACGGGGGCCCGCACAAGCGGUGGAGCAUGUGGUUUAAUUCGAAGCAACGCGAAGAACCUUACCAGGUCUUGACAUCCUCUGACAACCCUAGAGAUAGGGCUUUCCCUUCGGGGAC
rnacentral:rRNA from 1 species